GCUGGGCAUGGUAGUGCAUGCCUGUAGUCCCAGCUACUUGGGAAGCUGAGGCAGAAGAAUCACUUGAACCCAGGAGGCGAAGGUUGCAGUGAGCCAAGAUUGUGCCACUGCACUCCAGCCUGGGCAACAGAGCGAGACUCUGUCUCAA
rnacentral:SRP_RNA from 1 species